rnacentral:rRNA from 1 species
UGGUAAGUCAGAGGUGAAAGUCGGUUGCUUAACGAUCGAAUUGCCUUUGAAACUGUCAGACUUGAGUAUGGAUGCGGUAGGCGGAAUGUGUAGUGUAGCGGUGAAAUGCAUAGAUAUUACACAGAACACCGAUUGCGAAAGCAGCUUACCAAACCAGCACUGACGCUGAAGCACGAAAGCGUGGGUAGCGAACAGGAUUAGAUACCCUGGUAGUCCACGCAGUAAACGAUGCUCACUCGCUGUUGGCAAUAGAUCGUCAGCGGCUAAGGGAAACCGAUAAGUGAGCCACCUGGGGAGUACGAUCGCAAGAUUGAAACUCAAAGGAAUUGACGGGGGCCCGCACAAGCGGUGGAACAUGUGGUUUAAUUCGAUGAUACGCGAGGAACCUUACCUGGGCUUAAAUGUACGAUGCAUAAGUGUGAAAGCACUUUUUCCUUCGGGACUUUGUACAAGGUGCUGCAUGGUUGUCGUCAGCUCGUGCCGUGAGGUGUCGGGUUAAGUCCCAUAACGAGCGCAACCCCUAUUGUUAGUUACCAGCGCGUAAAGGCGGGGACUCUAGCGAAACUGCCGGUGUAACCGCGGGGAAGGUGGGGAUGACGUCAAAUCAGCACGGCCCUUAUGUCCAGGGCUACACACGUGUUACAAUGGCCGGUACAGCGGGCAGCGAGGCAGCGAUGCCGAGCGAAUCUCGAAAGCCGGUCCCAGUUCGGAUUGGAGUCUGCAACCCGACUCCAUGAAGGUGGAAUCGCUAGUAAUCGCGCAUCAGCCAUGGCGCGGUGAUACGUUCCCGGGCAUUGUACACACCGCCCGUCAAGCCAUGGAAGUCUGGGGUGCCUGAAGGCCGUAACCGCGAGGAGCG